UUAAAUGCAAUGAGAGGAAGGAGUACAUCUUAAACUUACUUUAAGAGAGAAGGCGGUUGGUGCGAGCCUUUAGAAGUUGAGAUAGAAGCAGUCCUGGAGCAGUGCCGCUGAAAUAAGUAAGCGACAACGGUGGCAAACGUUAUCUGCCUUAAGAGACCUUGAUGAGAGGUAAUGUGGGUGGUACCGCGGAGAUUUGACCUUCGUCCCUUUU
rnacentral:ncRNA from 1 species